UGGGGAAUUUUGGACAAUGGGCGAAAGCCUGAUCCAGCAAUGCCGCGUGUGUGAAGAAGGCCUUCGGGUUGUAAAGCACUUUUGUCCGGAAAGAAAUCCUUGGCUCUAAUACAGUCGGGGGAUGACGGUACCGGAAGAAUAAGCACCGGCUAACUACGUGCCAGCAGCCGCGGUAAUACGUAGGGUGCAAGCGUUAAUCGGAAUUACUGGGCGUAAAGCGUGCGCAGGCGGUUUUGCUAAGACCGAUGUGAAAUCCCCGGGCUCAACCUGGGAACUGCAUUGGUGACUGGCAGGCUAGAGUAUGGCAGAGGGGGGUAGAAUUCCACGUGUAGCAGUGAAAUGCGUAGAGAUGUGGAGGAAUACCGAUGGCGAAGGCAGCCCCCUGGGGCCAAAUACUGACGCUCAUGCACGAAAGCGUGGGGGAGCAAACAGGAUUAGAUACCCUGGUAGUCCAGCGCCCUAAACGAUGUCAACUAGUUGUUGGGGAUUCAUUUCCUUAGUAACGUAGCUAACGCGUGAAGUUGA
rnacentral:rRNA from 1 species